rnacentral:rRNA from 1 species
AACCUCCGCAAUGUGAGAAAUCGCGACGGGGGGAUCCCAAGUGCCAUUCUUAACGGGAUGGCUUUUCAUUAGUGUAAAGAGCUUUUGGAAUAAGGGCUGGGCAAGACCGGUGCCAGCCGCCGCGGUAACACCGGCAGCUCUAGUGGUAGCAGUUUUUAUUGGGCCUAAAGCGUCCGUAGCCGGUUUAAUAAGUCUCUGGUGAAAUCCUGUAGCUUAACUGUGGGAAUUGCUGGAGAUACUAUUAGACUUGAGACCGGGAGAGGUUAGAGGUACUCCCAGGGUAGAGGUGAAAUUCUGUAAUCCUGGGAGGACCGCCUGUUGCGAAGGCGUCUAACUGGAACGGUUCUGACGGUGAGGGACGAAAGUUAGGGGCGCGAACCGGAUUAGAUACCCGGGUAGUCCUAACUGUAAACGAUGCGGACUUGGUGUUGGGGUGGCUUUGAGCUGCUCCAGUGCGAAGGGAAGCUGUUAAGUCCGCCGCCUGGGAAGUACGGUCGCAAGACUGAAACUUAAAGGAAGU